rnacentral:rRNA from 1 species
AUAGGUAUGCUUAGGGAAGAGCUUGCGUCACAUUAGUUAGUUGGUGGGGUAAUGGCCUACCAAGACGAUGAUGUGUAGCCGGGCUGAGAGGUCGAACGGCCACAUUGGGACUGAGACACGGCCCAAACUCCUACGGGAGGCAGCAGUAAGGAAUUUUCGGCAAUGGAGGAAACUCUGACCGAGCAAUGCCGCGUGAACGAUGAAGUAUUUCGGUACGUAAAGUUCUUUUAUUAGGGAAGAAAAGAUGGUGGAAAAACCAUUAUGACGGUACCUAAUGAAUAAGCCCCGGCUAACUAUGUGCCAGCAGCCGCGGUAAUACAUAGGGGGCAAGCGUUAUCCGGAAUUAUUGGGCGUAAAGGGUGCGUAGGCGGUUAAAUAAGUUUAUGGUCUAAGUGCAACGCUCAACGUUGUGAUGCUAUAAAAACUGUUUAGCUAGAGUUGGAUAGAGGCAAGUGGAAUUCCGUGUGUAGUGGUAAAAUGCGUAAAUAUACGGAGGAACACCAGAAGCGAAGGCGGCUUGCUGGGUCUUAACUGACGCUGAGGCACGAAAGCGUGGGGAGCAAACAGGAUUAGAUACCCUGGUAGUCCACGCCCUAAACGAUGAGUACUAAACGUUGGAUAAAACCAGUGUUGAAGUUAACACAUUAAGUACUCCGCCUGAGUAGUACGUACGCAAGUAUGAAACUUAAAGGAAUUGACGGGACUCCGCACAAGCGGUGGAUCAUGUUGUUUAAUUCGAAGGUACCCGAAAAACCUCACCAGGUCUUGACAUGCUUUUGCAAAGCUGUAGAAAUACAGUGGAGGUUAUCAGAAGCACAGGUGGUGCAUGGUUGUCGUCAGCUCGUGUCGUGAGAUGUUGGGUUAAGUCCCGCAACGAGCGCAACCCUUGUUGUUAAUUGCCAUCAUUAAGUUGGGGACUUUAGCAAGACUGCCAAUGAUAAAUUGGAGGAAGGUGGGGACGACGUCAAAUCAUCAUGCCCCUUAUGACCUGGGCUACAAACGUGAUACAAUGGCUGUUACAAAGGGUAGCUAAAGCGUAAGCUUCUGGCGAAUCUCAAAAAAGCAGUCUCAGUUCGGAUUGAAGUCUGCAACUCGACUUCAUGAAGUUGGAAUCGCUAGUAAUCGCGAAUCAG